rnacentral:rRNA from 1 species
CCAAUGGUGAGAUACCACUCUAGCAUGGCUAAAAUUCUAACUUUGAACCGUUAUCCGGUCGAAGAACAGUUUCAGGUGGGCAGUUUGACUGGGGCGGUCGCCUCCUAAAAGGUAACGGAGGCGUGCAAAGGUUCCCUCAGGCUGGUCGGACAUCAGUCGUAGAGUGUAAAGGCAUAAGGGAGCUUGACUGCGAGACAUACAAGUCGAGCAGAGACGAAAGUCGGCCUUAGUGAUCCGACGGUUCCGAGUGGAAGGGCCGUCGCUCAACGGAUAAAAGUUACUCUAGGGAUA